UAUCAAAUUCCAGCUUAAUUUUUGACUAAAUUACAGAUAACUCUUAUCUUAAUAUUUAAUUUUUUACUUUCUUUUAUAUUAUUCAAAAAUCUGUAUUUUGCUUCCUUAAAAAUUAAAAAAUAUUCAUUUUGGCCCCCACCGUCAAUGUUUCGUUAGGGUUUCGUUUAUAUUCUAUUAUCAUUUUUUUUUAUAUCCAAAAUAUCUCUGAAACUUUCAUCUCCCUCCUUCUUCCUCACCAAUAUCGUUGACCGCGCCAUCUAGCUCUACACUGUCGUCUAGCACUCACCCCAGCACACUCCUUUGUCCGUGCCCAUACACACGCCCUCACCCUUCUCGAUUCGCGGCCUCACCCUUGCCCUCACCCACCUCUCCGCCCAUGCCUACCCCGAUCUCCUCCCUACAGUCGCUAAAAUAAGGGGGCGGCGAGGGUGCUAGAGAGCAAGGUAGCUGGUGGAGGAAACGACGUUGGAGCGAGGGUCAAGGAAGGCUUAAAGGAAGGAGGAGGGGAGCUGCGAAUGAACAAAAUUGGGAAGGAAGAUGAAGAGUAUGAGAGACAAUUUUGUCAUUUUGUUAUCAGAGUUAACAUUAUACUCUUGUGAAUAUUUUUUAUUUUUUAAGGGGUAAAGUGUAAGUUUUUUAAUAAUAUAGGGAAAGUAAAAAAACAAGUAUUGACGUGAAAUUUUUCUGUAAUUUAGCCUCUUUUUUUUUUUA
rnacentral:lncRNA from 1 species